GAUGAACGCUGGCGGCGUGCCUAAUACAUGCAAGUCGAGCGAACAGACGAGGAGCUUGCUCCUCUGACGUUAGCGGCGGACGGGUGAGUAACACGUGGAUAACCUACCUAUAAGACUGGGAUAACUUCGGGAAACCGGAGCUAAUACCGGAUAACAUGUUGAACCGCAUGGUUCAACAGUGAAAGACGGUCUUGCUGUCACUUAUAGAUGGAUCCGCGCCGCAUUAGCUAGUUGGUAAGGUAACGGCUUACCAAGGCAACGAUGCGUAGCCGACCUGAGAGGGGCGGGCCCCACAGGGGAUCUGCGACCGGCCCCGCCCCCCGCCGGGGGGCGCCAGGGGGGAUCCUCCCGCAAUGGCCGAAGCCCUGAGGGACCACCCCGGGGGGGGGGAGGAUGUUCUCCGGUUCGUAAACUUUUUUUUUUGGGAAAAAAAAAUGUGUUAAGAACCUUUCCCGGUCUUCCCGGUCCCUAACCAAAAGCCCCCGCCUAACUCCGCC
rnacentral:rRNA from 1 species